rnacentral:rRNA from 1 species
GACGAACGCGGCGGCGUGCCUAAUACAUGCAAGUAGAACGCUGAAGGAGGAGCUUGCUUCUCUGGAUGAGUUGCGAACGGGUGAGUAACGCGUAGGUAACCUGCCUGGUAGCGGGGGAUAACUAUUGGAAACGAUAGCUAAUACCGCAUAACAGUAGAUGUUGCAUGACAUUUGCUUAAAAGGUGCAAUUGCAUCACUACCAGAUGGACCUACGUUGUAUUAGCUAGUUGGUGGGGUAACGGCUCACCAAGGCGACGAUACAUAGCCGACCUGAGAGGGUGAUCGGCCACACUGGGACUGAGACACGGCCCAGACUCCUACGGGAGGCAGCAGUAGGGAAUCGUCGGCAAUGGACGGAAGUCUGACCGAGCAACGCCGCGUGAGUGAAGAAGGUUUUCGGAUCGUAAAGCUCUGUUGUAAGAGAAGAACGAGUGUGAGAGUGGAAAGUUCACACUGUGACGGUAUCUACCAG